AUCAAAAUAUAUUCUCAGCAAGUGUGCAAACAAUUCACUCUUUGUAAUACUAAUCUUUAGGUCUCUAAGAAUCAUUUACUGCUGCUUCUUUGUUAAUGUCUACCUUUUUUGCCUGUGGCAUUUCUAGUUUGUUAAAGAUCUUGGGCAGCCUUUAUUUUCUGCUGUUCACCUCGUGUAAUCGCUUUUCCAGACCUUUUAUCCGUGCCUUUUCUGCCUAAUCUCUCUGACUUCAAAAUUUGCCACUUUGCUGCAGUCUCUCACCAGCUGGUGCUGUUUUGCAUCACAACCUGGGCAUGCUGUGGUACCGUUGCCUCCCACUUACAUGGAUUUCGUUGCACGUUCACAUCUGCCUUCAUAAAUGACCAUUUCAGCUGCUCAAAAAGACAGGAAAUGGAUGGAGAGAAAUCGUGAACAAAAGCUUGCUUUAGUUAACUGUUUCUUUUUACAGAGGGGAGAAGCGAUGUGUAUUUCUGUAGCAAUAUCUACAGUUUGUCCUAAUGCUGCUUGGCUUUGAAAAACAUACUUAAAAAAGCUUUCAGCCCAUAUGUAAACCUUGACAGAAUGGGAAAGCCAUCUACGUAUCUGGAGUCAGAAUUGGCUUGCAUACUGCAGUAAUAUCUGAGAAGUUCUUUCUUGCUACCUUGAGCUAGCUGUCGCUUUUGGAGUUGUGACUAAUCUAAUUUCUUGCUUCACAACCUGGUUUAGGGGAAGAACUGGCUUGGCUUGUGCCAUGGAGCAAUGUUAGCAGUCUGAGAAGGAUGUUUUGGAGAGGGUAAGGAAGACUUCACCACGGAUCACUUCAUAGUAAGCAGUAAGAAGAAUGCAUGCGAAUGAGCAGAGAGGACAAAAGGAAUUGUCACAGGAUGAGUUUCAAGGAGGGAGAUGCAAAAUGACAUGGAGAUCUCUGGAGAAUACCACUGUGAAGGAAUUCUAAGAAAAAAAACCCACACCGCCUCUGGAAGUGGAAGAGAAGUGCCAAAGUGCCACUUGUUUAGCAGUGCAGUCAUUUUCCCCCGUACAUCUUUUUUUCUUAAAUUUGUUGUUAAAAUAAAGUCUUCAGAGAUUGAUCUUGCCUCUUGGAAUUCUCAAGAGAAUUGAUAUAUAAAUUCUGUAAUGAAGAUGAAGACUUGUCCUCAGGUGCACGGAAAAUCAUUCUGUUAAACAGCCACUACAGAUAAGACUUACAGGGGCAAAGGUGGUCAGGAUGCGAAGGACCUGAGCAAAUGAGCAAAUCUUGAUCGCUGUUGGAGGCAGGACAAAAUGGACAGACUGAUUAUUGACAGUUCAUAAAGGGUACAAAAAGGCCUAUCCAAAACAAGCACAUGGUUGCCAGCCUAAGAGGAGCGC